UUGGACUUUCCCAGAGAACAUUAUCUUGCCUUCAUCUGUGCUAUACUGUUCCAGGUCAUUGGGUUCUGAUGUCAUCUGGCUAUUGAAUAGAAUAGAAUGUGUAUGUUUUAAGCCGUAUAAAUGCUGAAGCAUGAUUAUUAUUCCUGCUGCAAUCGACAGGGUCUUCCACAGGAAGAUUGGACACUGAAAGAUCUACAUGAUAUUGAAGAUACUUAAAGCAAACUGCUUAAUAUGCUGGGCUGACAGGCUCAUUAAGCUGAAUAGUAGGAUUGCUGUCAUAUGCACUUCAGGCACUUACAAAAAGAAUCGUACAUAGUCUUUGAAGGAGUCAGGAAGAAUUGAACCUGCUUAAGUGUCACCCCCUGAAGAAAAAAGUCACAAAAUGUAAGUCACCAAAUGUAACUAUGGGGAAAAUGUUGCUCUUUUGUAUUCACAAAAUUACACAAAUUAUAUAGAGUAUAAAUACAGGGUAUAAAAUAGCAAAUAUUUUAUCAGAAUCAGAUCUCUACACUAAAAUCUAGUGUUAGGGUACAACAGCAGCUAAUAAAACCAUUCUGUUUUCACUGUUGUUUCCUUGGGAAGUAUAAUUCUAACAUCUGUUCA